AAUUUUGGACAACGGGGGCAACCCUGAUCCAGCCAUCCCUCGUGUGCGAUGAAGGCCUCCGGGUUGUAAAGCACUUUUGGCAGGUAAGAAAAGGCUCUGGCUAAUACCUGGAGCUGCUGUCGGUACCUGCAGAAUAAGCACCUGCUAACUACGUGCCAGCAGCCGCGGUAAUACGUAGGUGCGAAGCGUUAAUCGGAAUUACUGGGCGUAAAGAGUGCGCAGGCGGUUCGGCAAGAAGGAUGUGAAAUCCCAGGGCUUACCCUUGGAACUGCAUUCUUAACUGCCGGGCUAGAGUAUGUCAGAGGGGGGUAGAAUUCCGCGUGUAGCAGUGAAAUGCGUAGAGAUGCGGAGGAAUACCGAUGGCGAAGGCAGCCCCCUGGGAUAAUACUGACGCUCAUGCACGAAAGCGUGGGGAGCAAAC
rnacentral:rRNA from 1 species